rnacentral:tRNA from 1 species
CAAAGUGUAGCUUAAACUAAAGCACCCGGUUUACACCCAGGAGAUUUCAUAGAAAUUGACCGCUUUGAA